GUGAGGAAUAUUGGUCAAUAGCCUAACGGCUGAACCAGCAACUNGGAGGAAUGUAUAGCGAAAGCUAAUUGUAUUAGCAGGCAAUGGUUAAUAUAAUAUCGACUAUGUCGACUAAAGUUCUAGGUAGAGUAAUGAUAAUGACAUUUUUUACCUAUGUGUCUUGACCAAGUCACGUGCCAGCAGUCGCGGUAAUACGUGGAAGACAAGUGUUAUUCAUCUUUAAUAGGUUUAAAGGGUACCCAGACGGUAUAUUUAGCCCAAAAAAGGUACUAAAUAAACUAGAGUUUAAUGUGAGGGGGUUUAUAGUACUAAUGGUGUAGAGAUGAAAUUCUGUCAUACCAGGAGGUAACUGGCAGCGGCGAAAGCAACCCUUUAUGCAAAAACUGACGUUGAAG
rnacentral:rRNA from 1 species